rnacentral:rRNA from 1 species
AUACGGAGGAUCCGAGCGUUAUCCGGAUUUAUUGGGUUUAAAGGGUGCGCAGGCGGGAGACUAAGUCGGUGGUGAAAUUUUGCAGCUCAACUGUAACAGUGCCAUUGAUACUGGUUUCCUUGAGUGUGGAUGAAGUAGGCGGAAUUUGUGGUGUAGCGGUGAAAUGCAUAGAUAUCACGAGGAACUCCGAUCGCGUAGGCAGCUUACUAAACCAUAACUGACGCUCAUGCACGAAGGCGUGGGGAUCAAACAGGAUUAGAUACCCUGGUAGUCCACGCGGUAAACGAUGAUUACUGGCUGUUUGCGAUACACUGUAAGCGGCCCAGCGAAAGCGUUAAGUAAUCCACCUGGGGAGUACGUUCGCAAGAACGAA